rnacentral:rRNA from 1 species
CCUACGGGAGGCAGCAGUGGGGGAUAUUGGACAAUGGUGGGAACCCUGAUCCAGCGACGCCGCGUGAGUGAAGAAGUAUUUCGGUAUGUAAAGCUCUGUCAGCAGGGAAGAAAGAAAUGACGGUACCUGACCAAGAAGCCCCGGCUAACUACGUGCCAGCAGCCGCGGUAAUACGGAGGAUGCGAGCGUUAUCCGGAUUUACUGGGUGUAAAGGGAGCGUAGACGGUGCAGCAAGUCUGAUGUGAAAGGUCGGGGCCCAACCCCGGGACUGCAUUGGCAACUGUUGAACUGGAGUACAGGAGAGGUAAGCGGAAUGCCUAGUGUAGCGGUGAAAUGCGUAGAUAUUAGGAGGAACACCAGUGGCGAAGGCGGCUUACUGGACUGUAACUGACGUUGAGGCUCGAAAGCGUGGGGAGCAAACAGGAUUAGAUACCCCGGUAGUC